CGACACACAUACCUUACACACAUGCCACACACGUAUCACACAUGCAUCUUACACACCAUACAUACCUUACACACAUGCCACACAUGUAUCAUGCACACAUCACACACACCACACUUACCUUACACACACAUCACACACCACACAUACCUCACACACACGUAUCUCACACACAUCACACAUGACACACAUACCUUACACGCAUGCCACACACGUAUCACACAUGCAUCUUACACACCAUACAUACCUUACACACAUGCCACACAUGUAUCAUGCACACAUCACACACCACACUUACCUUACACACACAUCACACACACACCACACAUACCUUACACACACGUAUCUCACACACAUCACACAUGACACACAUACCUUACACACAUGCCACACACAUAUCACACAUACAUCACACACCAUACACACCUUACACACAUGUAUCACACACAUCACACACACCUUACACACACGUAUUACACACACAUCACACACAAGACACACAUACCUUACACACAUGCCACACACAUACACACACCACACACCACACAUACCUUACACAGAUGCCACACACGUAUCACACAUAUGUCACACACCACAUACCUUACACACAUACCACAUACAUAUUACACACACAUCACACACACCACCCAUACCUUACACACAUACCACAUACAUAUUACACACACAUCACACACACCACCCAUACCUUACACACAUGCCACAUACGUAUUAUGCACACAUCACACACCACCCAUAC
rnacentral:lncRNA from 1 species